UACGGGAGGCAGCAGUGGGGAAUAUUGCACAAUGGGCGCAAGCCUGAUGCAGCCAUGCCGCGUGUAUGAAGAAGGCCUUCGGGUUGUAAAGUACUUUCAGUCGUGAGGAAGGUGUUAAGGUUAAUAACCUUAGCAAUUGACGUUAGCGACAGAAGAAGCACCGGCUAACUCCGUGCCAGCAGCCGCGGUAAUACGGAGGGUGCGAGCGUUAAUCGGAAUUACUGGGCGUAAAGGGCACGCAGGCGGUUAAUUAAGUUGGAUGUGAAAUCCCCGGGCUUAACCUGGGAAUGGCAUUCAAGACUGGUUAGCUAGAGUCUUGUAGAGGGGGUAGAAUUCCAUGGUGUAGCGGUGAAAUGCGUAGAGAUGUGGAGGAAUACCGGGUGGCGAAGGCGGCCCCUGGGACAAAGACUGACGCUCGAUGUGCGAAAGCGUGGGGAGCAAACGAGGAUUAGAUACC
rnacentral:rRNA from 1 species